rnacentral:ncRNA from 1 species
UGUCCUUGCUAGUCACUAUUUGUGGCGACAUCUCAAAUUGCGUGAAACCCGUCAUACAGCUUCAAGUACCACUUCAAUUGAGAAAUCUUUUGAAGGAACAGAGGUAACUCCUCUUCCCAAAGGUAAAAAAAAGCUUGAAGACAUGGUGGCAAUGCGCAGCCAAGCUCCUAAGUAUUUUAAAUAUAAGGAGAAGGUUCAGAGAGCAGACGGAGAUGGGCGGUAAUUAUCGCCGCUUAAGGUGUGCUCCAGCCUCUUUCGAAAGAUUGAG